rnacentral:rRNA from 1 species
AGUGAAGCGGCAAAAGCUCAAAUUUGAAAUCUGGUACUUUCAGUGCCCGAGUUGUAAUUUGAAGAAGGUAUCUUUGGACCUGGCUCUUGUCUAUGUUCCUUGGAACAGGACGUCACAGAGGGUGAGAAUCCCGUGCGAUGAGAUGCUCCAGGUCUAUGUAAAGUUCCUUCGAAGAGUCGAGUUGUUUGGGAAUGCAGCUCUAAGUGGGUGGUAAAUUCCAUCUAAAGCUAAAUAUUGGCGAGAGACCGAUAGCGAACAAGUACAGUGAUGGAAAGAUGAAAAGAACUUUGAAAAGAGAGUGAAAAAGUACGUGAAAUUGUUGAAAGGGAAGGGCUUGAGAUCAGACUUGGUAUUUUGUAUGUUAUUCUCUCGGGGAUGGCCUCUACAGUUUACCGGGCCAGCAUCGGUUUGAACGGUAGGAUAAUGAUAAAGAAAUGUGGCAUCACUCGUGAUGUGUUAUAGUCUUUGUUGAUACUGCCAGUUUAGACCGAGGACUGCGAUUUUAUCUAGGAUGUUGGCAUAAUGAUCUUAAGUCGCCCGUCUUGA